AGUGCAUUUUCAUGCACUGUAAUAACGGAAAUAACGGCACAGCUUGUCAGCCUGCAUUGCUGGUGAAUAACCCAUCGCUUUCCUCUAAAUUGAAGUGCUGUAAGGAGUGAGGUGAUCUUCCCUUUUAGGUCACUCUCAAGAUGCAUGCACAUCUCUGAGUAGAGACCAGUCGACACUCGAUCUCGACAUGCAGCAAGAGGUCAUGGGAGGGAUGGCUAUCGCUCCAGGUCUAGCAGUAGGUCCAGUGGUGGAUCCAGCAUCAGAUCCUGGCACAGUGAUUGUGGCACACCUUCAGGUCCAAACAUGAUGGGUCACGGCACCGUGAUGGUUCAAGUCCAGACAUGACGGGUCACGGCACAGGUCCAGACAUGAUGACCGAUCCCGCAGUGAUGCCCCCAAUCCCCCAUCCAGGUCCAGACAUGAUGACCGAUCCCGUAGUGAUGCCCCCAGUCCUCCAGCCAGGACCAGACAUGAGGACCGAUCCCGUGGUGAUGCCCCCAGCCCCCCGGCUAGGUCCAGACUUGAUGAAAGAGCACAGCGAAGUGAUGACUGAUCCCGUAGUGAUGCCCCCAGUCCCCCGGCCAGGUCCAGACAUGAUGUUAGAUCGCAGCGAUGUGAUGCCCGAUCCCGUAGUGAUGCCCCCAGUCCCCAUGACAGAUCACGGCAUGGUGAUCUCAGCAGCACCCCUAUGACAGGCAUGAUGCAGUGACUGAGACUGGGAGAUGGGCCUUCCCAUUGCCUUGGUAUGUGUUCCAGAAAAGUCCUGAGCCUACUGGUCAAUAUCUGCAAUCGUCUGAAGGAAACACAGCCUGUCUCUUCAGCUGUCCAUAUCGAGAGGAUUGACACCAUGGAGGAAUUUGAGUUACAGGAGCAACGCCUCUCUGAUGCACAGACCUUUGAUACCCUAGCUCUUCACCAACAGCUUCAUGGCCAAAUUUAAUUUGAAGGAAAAGGGGAAACGUCCUUUAGAGGGAACAAAUCUUUAUAGAGCAAUACAAGAAGGGCUCAUGAAAUUCGAUCCCACAGCCACCGAGGAGAACAUCAAAGCGAACGAGCACCUUAAGCACGCGCCGCAGACGUGGAGGUGGAGGAUUUACAACGCCCUGAUAAGCCAGCCCCCUCACUCCAUGCACGGAGACAGUCCUAAAUGACGGAGACAGUCCUAAAUGAUAUCGACCUCCACCUCACCAGUGUUGUGGCGACAGAAGCGUUGACAUUUAGUCAAGAUUUGUUUAUAACACUGGACUACAUGAGUCACUGGAUGGCUCACAUAUAUAUACACACACACUCACUCACACAGGAUUUUUGAAAGAGUUAAAUUAAAAGAGUUCAAUUCAAAUAAAAUCUUAUUAUUCAUUCAUAAUUCUGCUUAAACUGUAUUAUGC